UGGGGAAUAUUGGACAAUGGGGGAAACCCUGAUCCAGCAAUGCCGCGUGUGUGAAGAAGGCCUUAGGGUUGUAAAGCACUUUCAGAGGGGAAGAAGUGCUGAAUGCUAAUACCAUUCAGUGUUGACGUUACCUUCAGAAGAAGCACCGGCUAAUUCUGUGCCAGCAGCCGCGGUAAUACAGAAGGUGCGAGCGUUAAUCGGAAUUACUGGGCGUAAAGCGUGCGUAGGUGGCUAUUUAAGUCAGGCGUGAAAUCCACGGGCUCAACCCGUGAACUGCGUUUGAAACUGGGUAGCUAGAGUAUGGUAGAGGGAAGUGGAAUUUCAGGUGUAGCGGUGAAAUGCGUAGAUAUCUGAAGGAACACCAGUGGCGAAGGCGACUUCCUGGCCCAAUACUGACACU
rnacentral:rRNA from 1 species